rnacentral:tRNA from 1 species
UGAUGUGGUGGUGCAGUGAGUAGCACUGCUGUCUCUCAACAUCUCAGUAGUGCAAGAGAAUGUGGGUUCAAUCCCCACUCAGUCUG